GUUUCAGGACAAUUUAAUUUGCAUGUUAUUUAUUCAAAUGGUUUAUUACAGGCACUCAAUCGUCGUGUUUUAUAUUAGCAGGUCAAGCUCAACUAUAUUACAUUGUGUAGAGUGAUAAGUGACAGUGCUUUCUACUGUAGUGUUUUGGGAUAAAAGAAGGCAGUGACCAGUGCUCAGUUCCUAGAACAGAGGAUCCCUACCCUCAAUGGUUUCCUUCGGAUUGAGCUGAUGCAAGUGUCUUUAAAUCUUACAUCUGAGUCAUGGCUUCAAAGAUAAGGUUCCUGAAAAGACGUCAUAUGUACCAAAUUGAUGCAUCAACUCCUGCAAGGAAAUUUGUUGGGUUUUGUGAAAUAAAAGCGU